rnacentral:misc_RNA from 1 species
CACAACAACAGGCUUCUUGGUUGAUAUAGGGCAAGAUUCAUCCUAUGGUUACAACUUCAAAUUAUUAUAUUUUGUAUCAUUUAAACUUUAAAUAGGUCAAUCUUGAAGUUGUUUAAUUUUCAACUUUUUAGUACAUCUAGCAUAGGGGCCAUGGCUUAAUAGAAUGGCAAAAGUCUAGGCUUGCAACCAUAAAGAUGCAGUUUUGUGAUCUAAGAGCAGCCACUUCAUGAAAAGAAAAAUGAGGACUCAAGAACUGUCUUCAAUACUCACUUCUAGGACUCCACUUUACAGGAACCAUUACUCCUAAAAGUGUGUGUGUGCGUGUGUGUUUAUAUAUAUAUAUAAAAUAGACAAAACUUAUGAGCAAUGCACCUCCAAUUACGUAAGUAUCAGCAAAAGCUCUUUAAAAUCUCUCAAGUCAAAACCCAAAAAGACUAAGAAAGCUAUCUUGCUCUUGCCCCAUAAUAACUGCAAUGCUUAUCUGGCAUUCUAAAGAUAUGACCAGUUGUCUCCAGUCAAGUACUCUAGGUAACAGAAAAUACUAAUAGAUGGUAGAAGCUUUCAGUCUUUUUUCUGCAAAUUGUGAUGCUAAAUCACUUCUUUGAAUGCUAACCAUUAUGUAAUCACCAUUUUGACAUUUAAUUGUUAGGCCUGAUGUUGUCUAAUACUUUUGCAAUUAUACACUCACAAAAUUAUUCUCAUCAUGAACAAAAAGGCUUGAUACACUUGGAACAAGGAUCCAUUUAUCUCAUCACACCCGACAUGACACCCUAAAUAAACAUCCUGUCAAGGAAACCAACAGCACAAGUAAACAAAAAUGGAAAAAGUGGAUUACUGUUCACAUUAUCUUAACCCUCUAAAAUUGCAAACCAACAUUUGGCAUCAUUAAAGUAAGAAAAGAACAAUAGUGGGAGACAAAUAACUAUUAUUCUAGUUUUUCUGCCUUACUUUGAAAACCCUUCUUAUUAUGACCUUUUCAAGAAAUUGCAAGUAAGCAUGAUCUGCACUUUCUGAAAAUCCAUCUUUACAACAAUCUCUUCGGAAACUUAAAAUCGCCAACAACCACUUGAGUAAUCUCUUUGCUCAAAAUUCCCAAAAUCCAACUUUCUCAAAAUUGCCAACGAUCAUUUAUUGGAAGCUCUUGACGCAAACGCCCACAGAAAACUUUGAAAAACCACCUCAUACCAAGCAAAUUAAAGGACAGGCUCUAAUUUUUUUUAAAUGCAAGCAUUUUUUUUUCCUUCCAAAUAAUACUAAGACUCCAAAGAAGGCACAAUUCCAAAAAACUCUAGCACUUUCCCACACUGAAACCCUCUACAUUCUAAACCAACUUUCAAAAUUUAACCUACCCAAUGU